rnacentral:misc_RNA from 1 species
GGGACCCACACCUCGAGUACGGCGGCUGGGAAUUUUGUGAAAGGUGCUUCAUUCUUUGGCUAUGCCCCAGGAACUGCAAGUGGAGUGGCUCCCAGGGCCCGUGUAGCCGUGUAUAAGGCCCUUUGGGGCGAAGGUGCUACUUCUUCUGAUAUAAUUGCUGCAAUUGAUCAAGCAAUUAUUGAUGGAGUUGAUGUGUUAUCCCUAUCAUUUGGCUUAGACGGGAUUCCUUUGUAUGAAGACCCCAUUGCCUUGGCGUCAUUUGCGGCCUUAGAAAAGAAUAUAUUUGUGUCAACUUCCGCAGGAAACCAAGGGCCUUCAUUUGAGACAAUACACAACGGAAUUCCCUGGGUGCUAACUGUUGCAGCUGGUACUGUAGACCGUGAAUAUGAUGCGGUUUUCACACUUGGCAAUGGAGUUUCAGUCACUGGCUUAGCUCUUUAUCCUGGGAAUUAUACUUCUACUCAAGUUCCAAUUGUUUUCUUGGAUGCAUGUCUUAGUGAACAAUUGAAUAAUGUUAGGCAAAAAAUUGUUGUCUGCCAAGACAGGAAUUUUUCCUUAGCCGACCAAUAUGAAAACCUAAGGAACGCUAAUAUCACCGGAGGUAUCUUCAUAACAAAUUUCAGAGACCUGGAAUAUUUUAUCCUAAGCCAAUUUCCAGCAAUAUUUGUGAAUCCAAAGGAUGGGGAAACCAUCAAGGAUUUCAUCAAGAGUAGCACCAAGCCACAGGCAAGCAUGGAGUUUCGGAAAACAAAUCUGGGUAUUAAAGCAGCUCCAAGUCUCACUAGCUACAGCUCUAGAGGACCAUCCCUAAGUUGCCCGUUUGUCAUGAAGCCUGACAUUAUGGCGCCUGGUUCUUUAAUCUUAGCUGCAUGGCCUCAAAACGUUGAAGUGAUGAGAAUCAACUAUGAACCACUAUUCAGCAACUUCAAUAUCCUGUCCGGAACAUCCAUGGCUAGCCCAAAUGCAGCAGG